AAAGAAAUUCAAAUUAUGAUCCAACAAUUUGGGAAAGUCUCCACAAACACCCAUCAGUAGGUGUAAAACUUCUUCAUGCUUGUUUUUUUUUCUUCUUCUUCUUCUUUAUGCUAAACCUUUUCAAGAAGUUGAUCAUGGCAAGCACAUGUUUCCAUUCAUCAAUCAUAGGAGUCUUGAUCUCCAAUUUCUCGAAGAUCUCCUUGAAGUACUUAAACCUGUUUUCCUUCCUGGGAUUUUUCUGUUUAUGAGGAAGGGGUUUUUUACAUGACCUUUUUUUCUUUCCUCUCUUCCUCUUUCUCUUAAUUUUCUCCUUCCUUAACCAUCUCUUUUUCUUUUUCCUUUCUUUCUUUAUUUUCACUUUUUUUUUUCUUUUUUUCUUUUCUUUCACCCAUGGCUUUUCCUUUCUCAUUCUUCUUCUCACUCUCAUUCAACUUUUAUGUUUCUAUUUCCUCUAUCUUUUCCGCAACCACAACUUUUUCUGUUUUUGUUUCCUCUUCAAACAUCUCUAGCUCUUCUUCUUCUCUCUUUUCCUCCUUGACAACCUUAUCAUUUGUAAAGAUAGUGGCUUGCCAUUCUUCUUUAAGGUUAACUUUAGUAUCAACCCUAAUAAUGCCCAGAGACUUCAAAACAUGAGAGUGUUGUUCCUGCAAUAAACGUUCUUUUGCUUCCCCUAACGUUUCUUUUCCCUGAGUGGCU
rnacentral:lncRNA from 1 species